rnacentral:lncRNA from 1 species
GGGUAGGUUUAGGACAAAUUUGGGUAGUAUUUUCACAAAACAGUUGUACUUAAUACUUGCUGUUUUAAGUGUCUAUUUUGUUUGCUUGCUUUGAAUUAAUUUUGUUGAGUCAAUAUUAAUAUCAGUUAACCUAGGAUUGCAUGCUUAGGGAAAACUUCGUGUUAAGCACAUCCGUCUUGUCAAUUUUUGAUUCUUAGUUUGUCAAUUUGGUGUCUUUCUGUCUGUUGGUUCCUUACAUUUAGUUUGACAAAUUGCACAUUGUUGAACAUCUAAUUACACUUAG